rnacentral:rRNA from 1 species
UACGUAGGGACCGAGCGUUGUCCGGAUUCAUUGGGCGUAAAGAGCUCGUAGGCGGCCACUCAAGUCGAAUGUGAAACCUCGAGGCUUAACCUCGAGCCUGCAUUCGAUACUGGGCGGCUAGAGUCUGGUAGGGGGAUCUGGAAUUCCUGGUGUAGCGGUGAAAUGCGCAGAUAUCAGGAGGAACACCGGUGGCGAAGGCGGAUCUCUGGGCCUGUCCUGACGCUGAGGCGCGAAAGCUAGGGGAGCGAACAGGA